rnacentral:rRNA from 1 species
GGUUAAGUUAGAAAGGGCGCACGGUGGAUGCCUUGGCACUAGGAGCCGAUGAAGGACGGGACGAACACCGAUAUGCUUCGGGGAGCUGUAAGCAAGCUUUGAUCCGGAGAUUUCCGAAUGGGGAAACCCACCACUCGUAAUGGAGUGGUAUCCAUAUCUGAAUACAUAGGAUAUGAGAAGGCAGACCCGGGGAACUGAAACAUCUAAGUACCCGGAGGAAGAGAAAGCAAAUGCGAUUCCCUGAGUAGCGGCGAGCGAAACGGGACCAGCCCAAACCAAGAGGCUUGCCUCUUGGGGUUGUAGGACACUCUGUACGGAGUUACAAAGGAACGAGGUAGAUGAAGAGGUCUGGAAAGGCCCGCCAUAGAAGGUAACAGCCCUGUAGUCAAAACUUCGUUCUCUCCUGAGUGGAUCCUGAGUACGGCGGAACACGUGAAAUUCCGUCGGAAUCCGGGAGGACCAUCUCCCAAGGCUAAAUACUCCCUAGUGACCGAUAGUGAACCAGUACCGUGAGGGAAAGGUGAAAAGCACCCCGGAAGGGGAGUGAAAGAGAUCCUGAAACCGUGUGCCUACAAGUAGUCAGAGCCCGUUAACGGGUGAUGGCGUGCCUUUUGUAGAAUGAACCGGCGAGUUACGAUCCCGUGCAAGGUUAAGCAGAAGAUGCGGAGCCGCAGCGAAAGCGAGUCUGAAUAGGGCGAAUUGAGUACGUGGUCGUAGACCCGAAACCAGGUGAUCUACCCAUGUCCAGGGUGAAGUUCAGGUAACACUGAAUGGAGGCCCGAACCCACGCACGUUGAAAAGUGCGGGGAUGAGGUGUGGGUAGGGGUGAAAUGCCAAUCGAACCUGGAGAUAGCUGGUUCUCUCCGAAAUAGCUUUAGGGCUAGCCUCAAGGUAAGAGUCUCGGAGGUAGAGCACUGAUUGGACUAGGGGCCCCUACCGGGUUACCGAAUUCAGUCAAACUCCGAAUGCCGAUGACUUAUCCUUGGGAGUCAGACUGCGAGUGAUAAGAUCCGUAGUCGAAAGGGAAACAGCCCAGACCGCCAGCUAAGGUCCCAAAGUAUACGUUAAGUGGAAAAGGAUGUGGAGUUGCUUAGACAACCAGGAUGUUGGCUUAGAAGCAGCCACCAUUUAAAGAGUGCGUAAUAGCUCACUGGUCGAGUGACUCUGCGCCGAAAAUGUACCGGGGCUAAACGUAUCACCGAAGCUGCGGACUGUUCUUCGAACAGUGGUAGGAGAGCGUUCUAAGGGCUGUGAAGCAAGACCGGAAGGACUUGUGGAGCGCUUAGAAGUGAGAAUGCCGGUAUGAGUAGCGAAAGAGGGGUGAGAAUCCCCUCCACCGAAUGCCUAAGGUUUCCUGAGGAAGGCUCGUCCGCUCAGGGUUAGUCGGGACCUAAGCCGAGGCCGAAAGGCGUAGGCGAUGGAUAACAGGUUGAUAUUCCUGUACCACCUCCUCACCAUUUGAGCAAUGGGGGGACGCAGGAGGAUAGGGUAAGCGCGGUAUUGGAUAUCCGCGUCCAAGCAGUUAGGCUGGGAAAUAGGCAAAUCCGUUUCCCGUGAAGGCUGAGCUGUGAUGGCGAGCGAAUUAUAGUAGCGAAGUUCCUGAUUCCACACUGCCAAGAAAAGCCUCUAGCGAGGUGAGAGGUGCCCGUACCGCAAACCGACACAGGUAGGCGAGGAGAGAAUCCUAAGGUGAUCGAGAGAACUCUCGUUAAGGAACUCGGCAAAAUGACCCCGUAACUUCGGGAGAAGGGGUGCUCUGUUAGGGUGCAAGCCCGAGAGAGCCGCAGUGAAUAGGCCCAGGCGACUGUUUAGCAAAAACACAGGUCUCUGCGAAGCCGUAAGGCGAAGUAUAGGGGCUGACGCCUGCCCGGUGCUGGAAGGUUAAGAGGAGCGCUUAGCGUAAGCGAAGGUGCGAAUUGAAGCCCCAGUAAACGGCGGCCGUAACUAUAACGGUCCUAAGGUAGCGAAAUUCCUUGUCGGGUAAGUUCCGACCCGCACGAAAGGCGCAACGAUCUGGGCACUGUCUCAACGAGAGACUCGGUGAAAUUAUAGUACCUGUGAAGAUGCAGGUUACCCGCGACAGGACGGAAAGACCCCGUGGAGCUUUACUGCAGCCUGAUAUUGAAUGUUGGUACAGCUUGUACAGGAUAGGUAGGAGCCUUGGAAACCGGAGCGCCAGCUUCGGUGGAGGCAUCGGUGGGAUACUACCCUGGCUGUAUUGACCUUCUAACCCGCCGCCCUUAUCGGGCGGGGAGACAGUGUCAGGUGGGCAGUUUGACUGGGGCGGUCGCCUCCUAAAAGGUAACGGAGGCGCCCAAAGGUUCCCUCAGAAUGGUUGGAAAUCAUUCGCAGAGUGUAAAGGCACAAGGGAGCUUGACUGCGAGACCUACAAGUCGAGCAGGGACGAAAGUCGGGCUUAGUGAUCCGGUGGUUCCGCAUGGAAGGGCCAUCGCUCAACGGAUAAAAGCUACCCCGGGGAUAACAGGCUUAUCUCCCCAAGAGUCCACAUCGACGGGGAGGUUUGGCACCUCGAUGUCGGCUCAUCGCAUCCUGGGGCUGUAGUCGGUCCCAAGGGUUGGGCUGUUCGCCCAUUAAAGCGGUACGCGAGCUGGGUUCAGAACGUCGUGAGACAGUUCGGUCCCUAUCCGUCGCGGGCGCAGGAAAUUUGAGAGGAGCUGUCCUUAGUACGAGAGGACCGGGAUGGACGCACCGCUGGUGUACCAGUUGUUCUGCCAAGGGCAUCGCUGGGUAGCUAUGUGCGGACGGGAUAAGUGCUGAAAGCAUCUAAGCAUGAAGCCCCCCUCAAGAUGAGAUUUCCCAUUCCGCAAGGAAGUAAGAUCCCUGAAAGAUGAUCAGGUUGAUAGGUCUGAGGUGGAAGUGUGGCGACACAUGGAGCUGACAGAUACUAAUCGAUCGAGGACUUAACCAA